rnacentral:tRNA from 1 species
UCCCUAGUGGCGCAACUGGUUAGCGCGCGGUACUUAUAAUGCCGAGGUUGUGAGUUCGAUCCUCACCUGGGGAA